AGCGAACGCUGGCGGCAGGCCUAAUACAUGCAAGUCGAACGGUCUCUUCGGAGGCAGUGGCGGACGGGUGAGUAACGCGUGGGAACGUGCCCUUUGGUACGGAACAACUGAGGGAAACUUCAGCUAAUACCGUAUGUGCCCUUCGGGGGAAAGAUUUAUCGCCAUUGGAGCGGCCCGCGUUGGAUUAGCUAGUUGGUGGGGUAAUGGCCCACCAAGGCGACGAUCCAUAGCUGGUCUGAGAGGAUGAUCAGCCACACUGGGACUGAGACACGGCCCAGACUCCUACGGGAGGCAGCAGUAGGGAAUCUUGCGCAAUGGGCGAAAGCCUGACGCAGCCAUGCCGCGUGAAUGAUGAAGGUCUUAGGAUUGUAAAAUUCUUUCACCGGGGACGAUAAUGACGGUACCCGGAGAAGAAGCCCCGGCUAACUUCGUGCCAGCCGCCGCGGUAA
rnacentral:rRNA from 1 species